UCCAGGCGCAGUAGGUGCAACUAUAGUCCCAGCUACUGGAUAGGUUGAAGGGAGAGAAUGGCUGGAGCCCAGGAGUUCUGGGCUCUAGUAUGCUAUACCAAUCAGGUGUUUGGCAUCAAUAUGGUGACCUCCCCAAAGCGGAGAACCACCAGGUUGCCUAAGGAGGGGUGAACCUCCUUAGGCAGGUCAGAAACAGAGCAGGUCAAAACUCCUUUGCUGAUUAGUAGUAAAAUUGGGCCUGUGAAUAGACACUGCACUCCAGCCCGGGCAACAUAGCAAGACCCCAUCUCUA
rfam:Nomascus leucogenys chromosome 3, whole genome shotgun sequence.